AAAUUAAACUAUCUUCUGA
rnacentral:tRNA from 1 species